GCAUCCUGCUUAAUUUUCUUGAUGCUGUACUGCUUGCCUAAUCGUGUGAAAGAGCCAUUUUAUUUCUGGCACUACUUGAGCAAUUCAGCCCUUUAAUUUUUUGGUGACUUCUGCCUCCUUUAAGUUGUUGUUGUUUUUCUUUCCAUUUACACGUCUGUUUGCUUUUCUCCUUGUGUCAUUCAUUUAUUUAGAUUAACCAAAUGUUUUACUAAGAAAUUAAGGACAUAUGCUGCUACAGUUUAAUAAGAUGCAUUCUGAGAAUUCAGUCUUUUAGUUCUGGCUGCUGCUUUGGGACUGGAUCUUGUGACUCUGGCUUGCUGAAAGUCAAAUGAAGCUAUGGAGAGACGUAUGUAUUGACUUUUGCUCUACAAUUUCUUUCUGCCUCAUUUGGAUAAAAUCUUCUUAGACAGUGCCAUGUUAAAAAAGGAGAGUAUUUUGUUACUGUGCUGAUGCUGCAGAGAGCUCAGGCUUCAGUGAGGAGCUUGAACUGGACAACCAGAUUUGAAAGAGGAACACUGAAAGUCCUGCUUUAAGAUGAUUUACCUAAGUUAUGGAUCUUUCUCAGUCCACUUUCUCUCCCUGAAAUAACUGGCAUCCGGAAGAAAAUGUCCUAUCAACAAUUCCUGACAAAUUGUUUUGGAAGCUGCCAGAUCUGCUUUGGCUGGUUCUCCAGUCUAAAAGGAUUAAAGCUCCCCCAUGCAAUUGGUUACCACAAGGGAAUGGUAGAGAAGCUUGAUGCUGUUUGCUGAAGCUCAGAUGAACAGAAAGGUCCAGCUGAUGUUACAGGGUGAAUCUCCAAACUCUUUUAACCUCAGAAAUGUAAGAGCUGUUUCUUUUUUGAUGUGAGAUUUGUACCAUGUUCACUGGGUGGCUAUUUUGAUGGUGGUGUAGGGGAAGUGGAAAUGCAGACCCACAGCCACAAACCGCGUGUCUGUCCUGGUGGCACUGAAGGACAGCUCUGUCAGACAGAGCUCCCAUCCAUCUGCUGCUGAUGGCUGUCUGACAAGGUGUUUGUCACCUCUUGGGAGGAUUGAUUGUCUGUCCCUGUCCAGGUGAACUGUGCAGGGAGGAAGGUUCACCACAAUGACAGCAUCACUCUGGGAAGUGACAUGUGCUCUCCCCUUGCCGUGACCACCAAACUAACUUCUCACCAGCUUUGUGGUGUCCUUGCACAGCUCCUUGCUUCCCACUCCAGAACUGGAAGACAAGAAGUCCCACUAUGUGGUAAUUAACUGGAACAAAGACAUUUUUUUACUGGAAGGAAAGAAAAGACCAGCACAGACCAGCUUGUUUGCAGUAGUGGCACCAAAAUAAACAUUUCUGUGAGAAUGUUGAUGAGGAAAAGGAGGCAGGGAAAAAACCAAACCACAAACACAGCAUGAUGGUGCCUCCGGGGAAA